AGCAUCAAUAUUUUCUUCACAGGUUUUUUGUGCUUCCCUGAAGAAAAAACUAAAUUAUACUGGAACGACAUGAGGGUGAGUAAAUGACUACUGCCUCUUUAAGAUGUUGCAUUUACCAAAACUUUCAGGAUUAAAUGAUAGCCUACUAUCUGCCAUGCAAGAAUUCUAAAGGCCUCAAAGAAAUCACACAGUGAGCAUACAGGUUUCCUGCGUAAAUGCCACACAAAACAUGCCAUUUAUUUUCUAAAUCAUUUAUACAGCCAUUUAUAUAUAGAAAAGAAAUGGUAUGUUGUGUUCUGUGAGGCGAUUAUCAUGUCUGUGAAAGACAUUGCCAUGGUUACUAAAGUUACCCCUGCUUGAAUAUUUCUGCUGUAUAUUCUGAAGGAAAGAACGGCCAGAGGAACAUCCUUCGCCUCUACAGGAGAGUCAGCUACGGUAAAUUGUUAAAUGUCUGAAGAUCGAUAUUCUUGUCCGCUCGCCUUCUCGCUGAUGGGUAGAAAUGCUCUCAGCUUUCAUUAGGAAUGUCAGCGAAUCACAGCUCUGACCUAUACAGCCGCCAGAGGUCAAACUGGCGCCCACUCGUAGCUACUGCACAAUGAAGACUAUGAGGUACGAGAUAAAUUACAAUUACAACAACAAAAUAUUUUGAUGUUUGUACACACAGCUGAUCUUUUUGAGUUAUGACAGUGACUUAAUAUCAACUUUCAGACUAUUUAUAUGUGUAUGAUUGUGUUAGUCUGGUUGGCUUUUUAUAGCCUAAAAAUAUUGUCAACUUUUUAAAAUGUAUAAUCAAUUGUGUGUGCGUGUGUGUGUGUGUUUGCACGACAGUGUGUGUGUACAUACAGAGAUUGAGCGCCAUCCUAUGGCGACUUGUAGCAUCUUUAAAAAUUUGAGCAGAGCUUAUGGAUUUUAGUUCUAUGGAACGCAUCCAAAAGCUAAGAAGGGUUGAGGUAUGAAAGACCCCAAGACACCAGCCUCAUUGGUCCAGUUCCUAUCUAACAGUCGCAGGUUUUAAUUUUCAUAGUAAAUACAUAAAUGGCCGGUUUCACAGACAAGGCUUAAGACUAGUCCCAGACUAAAAUGAAAGUUUGAGCUGUCCUUACUGAAAAUAAGUUGCCCUCACAUUUCUUAAAAUAUGUCUGUGCCAUUGUUUUGUCUCAAGAUGCACACCAGUAAUGUUUUUAUCUAAGGCAUUUUAAUAAAAGCGACUUAAAGGGGUCAUAUGGCGUGAAUACGUGUUUUUACGUGUCUUUGGUGUGUUGCCCAUGCAUGUAUUAGAAUUGCAAAAAUGAAAGUGUGGGAACAAAAGAUGCAUUCUAUCUAAAAGCGAAUGCUCACCCAGACCUGCCUGAAACGCCUCGUGUAACCACACCCCCACAAAUCUUCGUGGUAUGAGUUGACUAAGACCGCCCAAAUGUAUACGCAAGUAAGAUGGGCGUACCUGUAAUUACAAUUGCUUUGGAACCCGAUGUUCCAAAUAUGGUAAGAGGCGUUACAUUUCCGUCACACGCUUGCAGUAUUAACUGGCCAGUCAUAGCACACCUCGCUUUUCAGAGCGACGAGUUUUGUAAAACAUCCAUGUGUUUCAGAGAGGUGGGGCAAAGAGGAGAUACAAACAUGCACGGUAUGUGGAAAAUACAGCGUUUUUGAACCUUAAAUCGUGUACACAUUGCAUUACAUCUAAAACAAACCAUAAUAUUUGUUUUAGCCGUGUCAUGACCCCUUUAAAUAUCCUAACUUAACUAAGGCAUAGUCCUGGUUUAAGCUAAGCCUUUUCUGUGAAACCGGGCCAAAGUAUUUAAAUAUGUACUGUAAAUAUUGUUGUCGCAUAAUUAGUUCAAUAUUGUUUUAGUAUUCUCUGAGAUAUGAAUCUGGCACACAGGGAUUAAUAACAGCCAAACUGACCAUGUAAAAGGCCGACCCGUGGUUUGUUUUAGGAUCCCUGAAACGCGGCCCGUCACGUCUCCGUCCUCCCGAGGGAUCUGCCUUUCAGUCUGGGAUACACUUCUGCAUCCCUCAUACAUGAUGAAGUGCAUACACGUUCAAGUAGUCGGAGAACUAACUACUGGAAGGCAGACCGCACAUCUCCAGUAACGUCUGCCCACGUCUCACUUCCUGCAGGAGAGCGACUCUCACGCUUUAUUACGGAGCGUUUAACGCCUUUCUCCAGGUAAUGAGGCAGAUGACUCAACAUCCUGUUAACACAAAGAAUAAUUAUCUGUCUGAGACAAAGACAAGCACAUAGAGAGAGGAAGGGGGAGAAAAAGCAAUAAAGACAUGUUUAGGAUGCUGCUGUCUUGGAGGUCAAGUGCCAACAGGGUGUAAACAGGCAGGUUUUAGAAAAGAGCUUGUGUAAUGCUUUGUAUUUUAAUAUUCAUAUAGUUUAACAUUUUAGCAGUGCCCAUAAGACGCAUCCGGAAAGCACAGUUGGCCACAUUUAUGAUUGAAAAGUGUGCAUCUUCGGUUGCCUGUUUAAGAAAGAUGGCACAAAGCAAAUGCAACUUUUAUAAGACCCUUGAUUUAUCUACCGGCUUUAGUUUGCUGUCAGCAAGACAACUGUAGAUUGGUUCUGUGUCCAGUCAAUGGAAGUAAUUGGGGGUCAAUGUUAUUUGGUUACCAACUUUCUUCAAAUUAUCUUCUUUGUUGUUCUGCACAGUCGAGAAAGAAUAAAGAAAGUCAUACAGUACAUGACAUAAAAGUGUAAAACAAUUAUUUUAGGGUGAACUAUCCCUUUAACUGAUUUCGUUGUAUAACGUAAUACAAUGAAAUAUUUAAGGAAUCAACCUUAACACGUGUAAAGACAUUUUCAGAUAUGUUUCAGUGGUUUUGUCUUCAUACAAUGAAAGUCGACGGGGUUCAGUGUUGCUUGGUUUCCAACAUUCUUUAAAAUAUCUUGUGUGUCUCCCAGAAGACACGCAGGUUUGGAAUGACAUAAGGCCAGUGUUGGGUAAGUUACUCUGAAAAAGUAAUUAAUUACUAGUUACUAAUUGCAUAUUCAAUAGUGUAAUUAGAUUACUGUACAAAUGACUCUCUCCAAAAGUAUUUAAGUACUUAUAACUAAUUACUUUCUACAUCCUAUUUCAACCUUGAUUAGUUAAGUGAUUCAAGGAUAGACAUGAAACGACUCUAUUAAUUCAUUCAAAUAUAUAACUACAUAAAGUAGUGACCAAAGUAUUACAAAUGUGAGAAUUAUAGGCUACAUUAAAGCGUGGAUUUUAAAGUUAGACUUUAGAUUUUGAUGUCAAUUCCACUAUUGCACACACACAUAUUACACAAAGUAUUUAGUUUAAUAGGCCCUUUUCACAAUGACGUCACUUAACUUCUGCCUUCUCUCAAAGCAGUGUAUCAUGACAUCCGUCUUGCAACAAACAAGAAGAAGAACUUCCGUUUUGCCGUCGCGCUGGAAUUUAACAACAGUGACAGAAAAACUGACAGAACACGUAUUCAAGUACUUAUCCUAGCACCUUCGCUAACACAAAUAAUAAUAAUAAAAAAACACUUACCUUCAUAAUCAAACAGGUACUGUUCAACAAAGUAUUUGUAUCCUUUAUCUAGCUUUCAUCUUGUCAUUAGCGAAAAUUUGUCUGCAAGAUGUUGUACAUCAUCUAGACGUAUUUGUGGCAGCCGUGACUCCGUGAACUCCAUUCUGAGGCGCUAGCGGAAGUAACGAUACACUGCUUCCCGGUAGAACGGAAGAUGCGUGACGUCAUGUGAAAAGGGCCUAUUACAUCAGAAGUAACUGUAAUGAAAAAUCUGAGUAAUCCCUUACUUUAAAGGAAAAGUAAUUAAAUUACAGUAUCUAAUCACUUAAUUACCCAACACUGCAUAAGGGUGAGUAAAUGAGGAAUGAAUGUACAUUUUUGGGUAAACCUUUUAGUGUUUGAAAAAUGUUUGUGUAUUUCUAGGAGUGACUAGCGGCCACACACAACUGCUGUGCUAACAGACCACGACUUUUGCACUAACACGACUGAAGGUAUUGAAACAUUCCAGAGGUGAGUAUAUCUCUGAAAUCAUCUCCUUUUUGGCCGAUACUUUCUGGGAAGUGUGUUCUGAUUGGCUGGAUCUCAAGGCAUGAC